CAUGAUUCAAAAGCUGGGUUAAUUUGUUGCUUUAUGGUAAACGAAAUCUCAUGAACAAACCGGCUAACUGCCAUUCCCCUCUCCUCUACCUUUUAUCUUUUUCAUCCGAGUUAAGAAAUCUACCAUCUUGGCAGUUCUGGCAUAUCGGGGAAUGCCAACUUGAGUUCAACUUCAGAAGACACAAUAGGCUUCCUGGAGGGAAUAUAGAGGACCUCAGGAUACACACUUGGUCACUGGAUUGAGAUUCUUGAAUGUUAGAAGAAAGAUCCAGCAAUUUCGCUGAAGAUCUCAAAAGGUGAUGAUGAUUCAUUAACAAGAUGGCUUGAAUUGUUUCAUCCAUCAGCCCUUCUCACUUCUUAGUUUUGGUUCAAUCUGCUUCUUCUGUCUAGAACGACUCUUUCAGCUUUAUCCAUCCUUCAAAUUUCAAUGCAAGCACCAAUCUCUUCAAGAACCAUUCCAGACACCUUCUCCCUGCACUGUUGUGAGUAAUCUCAUCUUCCCCUGGAAUGAUGCUUGAUAUCCUAGUGGAUAUGAACUGUGUCUCAGCCAUCUCUACUGCUUUCAUUAUGGCAUAGUCUUCUGAACAUGAUACAAACUCAUCCCAUGUUUUUGAAAUGGAUAUAUUUAAGACAAAAAUGUUAAUAGCACCUCCAGGAUGCUGGUUUCCAGGAUGAAUAACUGCCAAUGCAAAAAUUAGCAAAGUCAAGUAUAAAUUGCCUACAAGAAAAAAACUGAGAAAUAAAGGUUAUAGCAUGCAGAAUAAACUGGAAUGCAAAUAAUCAAAGAUCAAAUAAAAUGCAUUCAAGAAAGUGCAUUGUUUAUUUAAUGUGUUUAAUGUUAUAUUAUUUUAGAGACUGCAUUUUCUGUAUCAGCAGCCACCCAAAUGACUUCCACCUCCUCCACUUAGCUUAGUCUUUACGAAGAUGACAAUGACAGAAUUUUCAUUUCCAGCCUACCCACUUUCUGUAUCCACACAGAAUUAAGUGCAUAGUGAAAUAGUCACCUCCUACACUCACAGUCCUUUUUCCCAGGUGGCUGUGGAACCAGCAAAACAAGAACUUUCUUUAAAGAAAUCACAGUGUGGUGGUGAUUACAGUUAUAUUAUAGCUUUUUGCCUGUGUGGAUAGCAUUCAAAUAAUGAAUUAACUGUUGAUCCAUUACUUGAGAAUUUUUCUAUUAAUCCACUUCCUGACAAAUCUAAACAGGGGAAAAUGUCU
rnacentral:lncRNA from 10 species